rnacentral:lncRNA from 1 species
CAUUUUAGGAAUUAGGGGCCAAAAAGGGCCCAAAUAAGCAUUUUCUUGGUUUUCGCACUAUAACUUUAGUUUAAGUAAAUAGAAAUCUAUGAAAUUUUGACACAAGGUUUAUGACCACAAAAGGAAGGUUGGGAUUGAUUUUGGGAGUUUUGGUUCUAACAGUUUAGGAAUUAGGGGCCAAAAAAGGGCCCAAAUAAGCAUUAUUCUUGGUUUUCGCACA